rnacentral:rRNA from 1 species
ACGAACGCUGGCGGCGUGCCUAAUACAUGCAAGUCGAGCGGAAUGAUGAAGAAGCUUGCUUCUUCUGAUUUUAGCGGCGGACGGGUGAGUAUCACGUGGGCAACCUACCUUGUAGAUUGGGAUAACUCCGGGAAACCGGGGCUAAUACCGAAUAAUCCAUUUUGCUUCAUGGCGAGAUGUUGAAAGACGGUUUCGGCUGUCACUACAAGAUGGGCCCGCGGCGCAUUAGCUAGUUGGUAGGGUAAUGGCCUACCAAGGCGACGAUGCGUAGCCGACCUGAGAGGGUGAUCGGCCACACUGGGACUGAGACACGGCCCAGACUCCUACGGGAGGCAGCAGUAGGGAAUCUUCCACAAUGGACGAAAGUCUGAUGGAGCAACGCCGCGUGAGUGAAGAAGGUUUUCGGAUCGUAAAACUCUGUUGUAAGGGAAGAACACGUACGAGAGUAACUGCUCGUACCUUGACGGUACCUUAUUAGAAAGCCACGGCUAACUACGUG